rnacentral:sRNA from 1 species
CGCAGGAGGUUCGAGCCUCGCGAAGCGAGACAACGUUGCUUCAGCAACGGCCCGCAGGGCGCGCAUCAAAGAUGCGCGUAAUCCUCUCUCGCCGACCA